UACGUAGGGGGCUAGCGUUGUCCGGAAUCAUUGGGCGUAAAGAGCGUGUAGGCGGCCCGGUAAGUCCGCUGUGAAAGUCGGGGGCUCAACCCUCGAAAGCCGGUGGAUACUGUCUAGCUAGAGUCCGGAAGAGGCGAGUGGAAUUCCUGGUGUAGCGGUGGAAUGCGCAGAGUAUCAGGAGGAACACCAACGGCGAAGGCAGCUCGCUGGGACGGUACUGACGCUAAGGCGCGAAAGCG
rnacentral:rRNA from 1 species